rnacentral:tRNA from 1 species
CGCGGAGUGGAGCAGUUGGCAGCUCGUUGGGCUCAUAACCCAAAGGUCAUAGGUUCGAGUCCUGUCUCCGCAA